rfam:Haemonchus contortus, ISE/inbred ISE, WGS project CAVP01000000 data, contig: Hcontortus_14878
GGUGCAAACUUGAAAUAGAGUCGUUUAGUAGGGUCAGAUGAUCCUUCUAAUCUACUCUACUUCAAGUUUGGGCCC